CGGCAAAAGAAGGAAGAAUUAAACUAAAGGGUUGAAACUUCGACUAGAUGACAUUUCUAAAUGCCUUAAAAUUCACAAUUUAUCGAUGUUUUCGAAUAUUUUUUUGCAGAUUCUAUGUCUUUUUGGAUAUAUCUUCACAACUGAUGUAGUAGAUUCGAUAAACGAUUGAUUUUUCGUAUGUUUUUACAUGAAACACUCGAAGCGUUUUUUCGCACGAUGUGUUCCAUAAGUAGGUUGUUCUCGUGACGUCAAGUAUAAUGAGUCCGAGCCAUUUAAAAGGUUUACAGAACUUCGAGAGAAGAAAUAAUGGAUGAUCAAGGGAUUCAAGUAAGUUUUUAAAAAUAAAUACAAUAUUUUUUCAAUCCUAACUCACGUUGGGGCCCCGUGCGAAAUUUCCGGAGAACAACCUACUUAUGGAACACAUCAAACGAUGACCCGCCGAAGUUUCAACCCUUUAGUUUAAUUCUUCCUUCUUUUGCCGCCUUCGUAUUUUCGCGCCCGCGUUCUUACUUGUCAGCGAUCAUCUAUACUUCAUGUAGAGUGAUAGUAUAAUGGAUUCAAGAAGUUUAAAAUGUUUACAGAAUUUCGAGAGAAGAAAUAAUCGAUUAUCAAGGGAUUCAAGUAGGUUUUUAAAAAUAAAUACAAUAUUAUUU